GAGAUCUGAAAUCAGGGACUGCAGAAACAGAACCUGUAGAGGAAGACUCUUCACAGCCUUCCUUACCUUUAGUGAGAGCAGAUGAUCCUCUAAGACUUGACCAGGAGUUGCAGCAGCCCCAAACUCAGGAGAAAACAAAUAAUUCAUUAACAGAAGACUCAAAAAUGGCUAAUGCAAAGCAGCUAAGCUCAGAUGCAGAGGCCCAGAAGCUGGGGAAGCCCUCUGCCCAUGCCUCACAAAGCUUCUGUGAAAGUUCUAGUGAGCCUGCAACUGGUGAAAGAAAAAAUGGAUCUACUGCUGUUGCUGAGUCUGUUGCCAGGUAACCAAAGCUGGAUGCUAUUUAGAGUUUAAUACGCAGCUACUGGUAAUGAGGGUAGAUGGUUUAUCAACAAAGGAAAAAAGUUAAAAUGAGACUCUUUCAUAAAGGAUUUAGCAAUGUUUUGAAUGAAUCAUAGACUUUUUAGUUAAUACUUUUUUAAGUGUAGUGAAGCUUUUUUCUACACCUAGAACUAAGAUAAUUGAAAUGUCUUUUCUUUUGUUCAUGUGAGAGUUCCCUUCCCCCCUUUUUUCUG
rnacentral:sRNA from 1 species